rnacentral:tRNA from 3 species
CGGGGUGUAGCGCAGUUGGUAGCGCGCUUGGUUCGGGACCAAGAAGUCGGGCGUUCGAGUCGCCUCACUCCGACCA